rnacentral:rRNA from 2 species
UUUUCCUCAAAUCAGGUAGGACUACCCGCUGAACUUAA